GACAGAGGUGCCGAGCGUUAGGCGGAAUCACUGGGCUUAAAGCGUGUGUAGGCGGAUCCGUAAGUACCUUGUGAAAUCCCACAGCUUAACUGUGGAACUGCUUGGUAUACUGCGGAUCUUGAGCCACCUAGGGGCAACCGGAACAAACGGUGGAGCGGUGAAAUGCGUAGAUAUCGUUUGGAACGCCAAUGGUGAAAACAGGUUGCUGGGGGUGUGCUGACGCUGAGACACGAAAGCCAGGGGAGCGAACGGG
rnacentral:rRNA from 1 species